rnacentral:rRNA from 1 species
ACGCACGCUGGCGGCGUGCUUCACACAUGCAAGUCGAACGGAAAGGCCCUGCUUGCAGGGUACUCGAGUGGCGAACGGGUGAGUAACACGUGGGUGAUCUGCCCUGCACUUCGGGAUAAGCCUGGGAAACUGGGUCUAAUACCGGAUAGGAGCCAUUUUUAGUGUGGUGGUUGGAAAGUUUUUUCGGUGUAGGAUGAGCUCGCGGCCUAUCAGCUUGUUGGUGGGGUAAUGGCCUACCAAGGCGGCGACGGGUAGCCGGCCUGAGAGGGUGGACGGCCACAUUGGGACUGAGAUACGGCCCAGACUCCUACGGGAGGCAGCAGUGGGGAAUAUUGCACAAUGGGCGCAAGCCUGAUGCAGCGACGCCGCGUGGGGGAUGACGGCCUUCGGGUUGUAAACUCCUUUCGCUAGGGACGAAGCUUUUUGUGACGGUACCUAGAUAAGAAGCACCGGCUAACUACGUG